ACGGCAGCGGGGGGUAGCUUGCUACCCCGCCGGCGAGUGGCGGACGGGUGAGUAAUGCCUGGGGAGCUGCCCAAUCGAGGGGGAUACCAGUUGGAAACGACUGCUAAUACCGCAUACGCCCUGAGGGGGAAAGGUGGGGAUCUUCGGACCUACCGCGAUUGGAUGCACCCAGGUGGGAUUAGCUAGUUGGUGAGGUAACGGCUCACCAAGGCGACGAUCUCUAGCUGGUCUGAGAGGAUGACCAGCCACACUGGAACUGAGACACGGUCCAGACUCCUACGGGAGGCAGCAGUGGGGAAUAUUGCACAAUGGGGGAAACCCUGAUGCAGCCAUGCCGCGUGUGUGAAGAAGGCCUUCGGGUUGUAAAGCACUUUCAGCGAGGAGGAAAGGGGUGAUGCUAAUACCAUCAUCCUGUGACGUUACUCGCAGAAGAAGCACCGGCUAACUCCGUGCCAGCAGCCGCGGUAAUACGGAGAGUGCAAGCGUUAAUCGGAAUUACUGGGCGUAAAGCGCACGCAGGCGGUUGGAUAAGUCAGAUGUGAAAGCCCCGGGCUCAACCUGGGAACUGCAUUUGAAACUGUUCGACUAGAGUCUUGUAGAGGGGGGUAGAAUUCCAGGUGUAGCGGUGAAAUGCGUAGAGAUCUGGAGGAAUACCGGUGGCGAAGGCGGCCCCCUGGACAAAGACUGACGCUCAGGUGCGAAAGCGUGGGGGAGCAAACAGGAUUAGAUACCCUGAUAGUCCACGCCGUAAACGAUGUCAACUUGAAGUCUGUGCCAUAGAGCGUGGGCUUCGAAGCUAAC
rnacentral:rRNA from 1 species